GUGGGGUAAUGGCUUACCAAGGCUUCGACGGGUAGCCGGCCUGAGAGGGUGACCGGCCACACUGGGACUGAGACACGGCCCAGACUCCUACGCGAGGCAGCAGUGGGGGAUAUUGGACAAUGGGCGGAAGCCUGAUCCAGCAACGCCGCAUGGGGGAUGACGGCCUUCGGGUUGUAAACCUCUUUCGACAUCGACGAAGCCUUCGGGUGACGGUAGGUGUAUAAGAAGCACCGGCUAACUACGUGCCAGCAGCCGUGGUAAUACGUAGGGUGCGAGCGUUGUCCGGAUUUAUUGGGCGUAAAGAGCUCGUAGGCGGUCUGUCGCGUCUAUCGUGAAAACCGGGAGCUUAACUCCUGGCUUGCGGUGGAUACGGGCAGACUUGAGUUCGGUAGGGGAGACUGGGAUUCCUGUGUAGCGGUGAAAUGCGCAGAUAUCAGGAGGAAUACCGGUGGCGAAGGCGGGUCUCUGGGCCGAUACUGACGCUGAGGAGCGAAAGCGUGGGGAGCGAACAGGAUUAGAUACCCUGGUAAUCCACGCCGUAAACGUUGGGCGCUAGGUGUGGGGAUGGGUUCCACUGUCUCCGUGCCGUAGCUAAUGCAUUAAGCG
rnacentral:rRNA from 1 species